AGAUGAAUGAACAGGGUUGUGUACGUGUGUGUGCGUUAGACAAAUGAACAGUGUUGUGUACCUGUGUGAAUUGUCACUGUGACUCCAGGCUCUAGGCUCUGCAGAUUCCUCAGCCCUAUCGCCUCACAGACACUUGGGAUGUGCAGCAGGUAAAAGAGAGAAGCCAGAUUCAUGGAGGCGUGAAGGAUCCCAGCAAGAAAACACAGACUUGAUCUUGAGACGAGAUUUUUGAAAUUGGUUGCGGCCUCAAGGCAGGCUCUGAGAAGACUCGAUAAAGAGUUCUCAGGAAUAGGCAUCCCUCCUGGAUAUUUCCCCCUUGGAAGCGCCGAGGAGCCAGCUCUAUGUUUGUAACCAUAGCAUUUCUAAAGCUCCAGCCCCAGGAACCUGCUGUGAAUUAGAGACAGAUUCCACCCUAGGCAUCACUGAUCUUGGCCUCUCUUGUAUUGGGAAGGUCAACACUGUUCCAGUUUCUCUCCUACUCCCAUCUGGUUGUGCUCGGUGAAGUAGGUGAGCAGUGCUACCCUUCUGUUAAAAAAAAAAAAAAAAAAAAGAUCCUGAAAGAGGAAAGAAUUUUUGCUACACAUCUGAAAGCUAAAGUCCAGUUGAACUCCAGAGGAGAACACAGCCCAGGUAACCCCUCGUUUGCAGCCUGUGAGACCAGCCUGAGGACAGCACCCAGCUAAACUCCAGGUCCAUGGAAACUGUGAGAUUUUAUAUAUUUAUGUUGUUUUAAGCUAAAUUCGUGGUAAUUGGUUAUGGUAGCAACUGAAAAUUAAUGCAGUAAGAAAGUCUAAGGAGAUCGGAAGAGACUAAAGAGAAAUAACAGCUAAAUGCAACGUAGAUUAAUGUGUGGGAUCCUGGAAAAGAAAAAGGACAUUAAUGGGAAAACAUAUUUGAAUAAGAUGUGCAAAUUUUUCGUAUUGUACCAAUGUUAAUUUCCUGGUUUUGAUAAUUAUCCUUUGGUUAUGUAAGAUAAACGCUAGAAUGAAGGGUAUAUGAGAACCCUCUGUACUACUCUUGCAACUUUUCUCUAAGUCUAAAAUAAGUGGAAAUUAAAAGUUAAAACAAAAAAAAAGGAAAAUUUUAUCUAUCCCAAGACCACAAAGUUAUUUUUCUGUUUCUUCCUCCAGAAUCUUUAUUGUUUGUUUUCACACUUAGACCUAUGAUCCAUCUUGAAUUUAUAUCUGUGUAUGUAGUGGGAUGAAGUUCAAAAUCAUUUUUUUCAUACAGAUAUCCAAGUGCACUGGCACCGUUUGUUAAAAACACUGGCCUUCUCUUAAGCUGCAGUCAGACUUUUACUGUAAAGCAUGGGCCCAUAUAUGUGCAGGAGUCUUUCUACUUUUCCGUUGGUCCUCUUUGUCAAUCUUUGUGCCAGCACCUCCAUUUUAAUUCCUGUAGCUUUAUAUUAUAUCUUGAUAAUCUGGUAAUAUAAGUUGAAGAACAACUUUGUUCUUCAAAAUCACUUUGUCUAUUCCAGGUUCUUUGCAUUGCUCUAUAAUUUUAGAAUGAGUUAAUUAAUUUUCUCAAAACAAACAAAACGCCCUGCUGACAUUUUGUUGGCAGUACAUUGAAUCAGUAGAUAAAUUUAGAGAGAAUUAUCUCAAAAUUGAGUCUUACAGUUCAUGAACAUGGAAUACAUUUCCAUUUAUUGAAUUCAUCUUUAAUUUCUUUCCUUAAGGUUUUGUUGUUUCCUGUCUAAAGGUCUUGCACAUCUGUUAAAUUUAUUCCUGUUUUACAUUUUUUAUGUUUUUACAAACUGUUAAGGUUUUAAAAAUUUUAUUUUUCAGUAGCUUUGCUUUAAUAUAAUUGUUUUAUACUUUUACCCUUUAUUCAGCAAUAAAUUAUUUAAUUUAAAGCUUGUGGAAUUAAAAAAUAUUUUUAUGUACAUAAUCAUGUAAUCUACACUAUCUGCAAAUAAAGAUCAUUUUACUUCCUUCC
rnacentral:lncRNA from 1 species